rnacentral:rRNA from 1 species
AUUGAACGCUGGCGGCAGGCCUAACACAUGCAAGUCGAACGAGUGGCGGACGGGUGAGUAAUGUCUGGGAAACUGCCUGCUGGAGGGGGAUAACUACUGGAAACGGUAGCUAAUACCGCAUACCAUCAGAUGUGCCCCGAUGGGAUUAGCUAGUUGGUGGGGUAACGGCUCACCAAGGCGACGAUCCCUAGCUGGUCUGAGAGGAUGACGAGCAAAACUGGAACUGGAACACGGUCCAGACUCCUACGGGAGGAAGCAGUGGGGAAUAUUGCACAAUGGGCGAAAUCCUGAUGCAGCCAUGCCGCGUGUAGUAAGAAGGCCUUCGGGUUGUAAAGUACUUUCAGCGGGGAGGCGGUACCCGCAGAAGAAGCACCGGCUAACUCCGUGCCAGCAGCCGCGGUAAUAC